AAAAAGGCCCUUUUCAGGGCCACCAAAUAAAAGCUUCUUACUCUUAU
rnacentral:ncRNA from 1 species